GUGCGGUGACCUAUAGAUGUCCCUAACACUGAAUGGAUAGAGUCUGGAAACCCACCAUUAGAGGUCGUCUGGCUGUAGGUCCACAUGCAUCGUUAGCCACUCUCCAUUUUUCACAUGGCUUCAAUCAAGCAGAGAUUUCAUCUCCGUCUGCUCCUGCCAAGCUAUCAAUCCAAAAGGCCAAUGGGACACGUGUUUGUUGCUCCCCUCUGGUAAAAAGAAAUGCCUGUUGCUUUUGUGCUUCCAUGACAGGAAGGCAGCCAGUUGGUCUUGCCCAUUCAUAGCCAAGGUUAAGUUGCCUGACUGGCUGGAGGGCACCACGUCUGUGUCUCAGGUCAGCUAGCACUUUUCACUGCACUGCUGGCAUUAAUUUGGCAUCUUCUCCUGACCACAGCAUGACUGUGAAGCCAGCAACAUUCUCCUUAUAGGUCACAGAAAAAUAAACACUACCGUACUAUCUGUCCUUUUCAUCAGAUUCUGCUAGGAUUUCCCUGGAAUGUAGUUGGCACUCGAUAAAUAUCUGUGGAAUGAACAGAUGGGUAUCAGUAAAGGCAGUUUCUGGAUGAUAUUCCAAGGUAAUUAUUUGGAUGCUCAGAGUUUAAAUGUGAGCUUCUGCCUUUACCAAAUUAUUCCACUUCUCCCCUCAAGUAGGUCCAAUGUCCAAUAUUGUGGUUGUCCUGAAUUUAGUGACAAGGCUACCAAAGGCCCUGCAUGACCUGCCCCCAACACACCUCUUCAGCCUCAUAUCUCUGUCUCCCUCCUCCUCUACCCACAGUGCCCCAGUCAGACACAGCUCACUCAGUCCUGUAAUGGAGCAGGCUCAGGGACUUUGCACAUCCUGCUCUCUCGGCUGGAACAUUCUUCCACCACCACCACCACUGGCCUAAUUCAUUCAAACUCACUCUUUAAGCCCCAGAGUUGAUGUCACUUCCCUGGGACAUCUUCCCAAUCUCCUGACUCCUAUGGGUUAGGUGCACUUCCUGUGCUCCCGACAUUUUCUUAUUUCGGUUCUCAUCACCCUGCAUGGCACCAGCCUUGUUGCCUGUGGUACCUCUCACCAGGCUGUCAACAUCACACAGAGAAAUGUGUCUGCUGUUGCAUCCUCAGGCCCUGACAAAUGGGAAAUGCUCUCUACACAUUUGAGUUUUUGUUGGUUGGAUGAAUGAAUGCAUCAGCCAUGAGAGCUCUAUUCUUGCGCCCUCCAGGAGAUGGGUAAGGUAGGAUUUGGAAAACAGAUUUUGGAAUCAGACAGACGUGAGUGGGCAGCCUGACCCCACCCUUACUUCUUCAUAUAAGACAAUAGAGUAAUCCCAGCACUUUGGAAGGCCAAGGUGGGUAGAUCUCUUGAGGCCAGGAGUUCGAGACCAGCUUGGCCAACAUGGAGAAACCCCAUCUCUACUAAAAAUAAAAAUAGAAAAGAAUUAGCCAGGCAUGGUAGCACACACCUGUAGUCUCAGCUAUUCGGGUGGCUGAGGCAUGAGAAUCACUUGAACCCAGGAAGCGGAGGUUGCAGUGAGCCAAGAUCAUGCCACUGCACUCCAGCCUGGGUGACAGAGUGAGACUAGUCUCAAAAAAAAAAAA
ensembl:lncRNA